UCACAUAAUGUCAUAUUAGUAAAAAUAAUAACUUCUUAUAUUAACUGUGUGAAAUAAUUAUGCAAAAAAAUAGAUUUGAUUAAUUAAAAUAUAGAUAAAAUAUUUUUCACGAUCAAAUUAUAAAAAUUAAACUCAUAUAUAGAACAAAACAAAUGAGAAAUCGCCUUUAAAAAAAAGAAAAAAAAAAAAGAUUGAGAGCAGUUUGAUGUACAAACAACCCGCACCAUUGCCAGGAUUCGGAAAAUGACCACCCCAAGAAAAGAAAAUCCUUUGGUCACAUGUAACAUCACUGCAUUCAUGGGCAGUGAGCGUUAACUUAUAAAUAGAUUCCUCUGAAGGGUGUGAUGAGCAUCCUACAGGCCACGGCCACAAAGAAAUCACAAAUUCACAAGGCUUUGUAUUCCCCCUUCUUUUUCUACCAUGGCUUUACUUUUCUUUUGCCCCUAGUCAUUUUCCUGAGUGGUGUUUCAGCCAUUGAAUUAGCAAGUGAGCCAAUAUCUCCAUCUCAUGCAUUCCAAGAAAACAAACCAAUAGCCCCAACUCCAU